rnacentral:rRNA from 1 species
UGGGGAAUUUUGGACAAUGGGCGAAAGCCUGAUCCAGCAAUGCCGCGUGUGUGAAGAAGGCCUUCGGGUUGUAAAGCACUUUUGUCCGGAAAGAAAUCCUUGGCUCUAAUACAGUCGGGGGAUGACGGUACCGGAAGAAUAAGCACCGGCUAACUACGUGCCAGCAGCCGCGGUAAUACGUAGGGUGCAAGCGUUAAUCGGAAUUACUGGGCGUAAAGCGUGCGCAGGCGGUUUGCUAAGACCGAUGUGAAAUCCCCGGGCUCAACCUGGGAACUGCAUUGGUGACUGGCAGGCUAGAGUAUGGCAGAGGGGGGUAGAAUUCCACGUGUAGCAGUGAAAUGCGUAGAGAUGUGGAGGAAUACAGAUGGCGAAGGCAGCCCCCUGGGCCAAUACUGACGCUCAUGCACGAAAGCGUGGGGAGCAAACAGGAUUAGAUACCCUGGUAGUCCACGCCCUAAACGAUGUCAACUAGUUGUUGGGGAUUCAUUUCCUUAGUAACGUAGCUAACGCGUGAAGUUGACCGCCUGGGGAGUACGGUCGCAAGAUUAAAACUCAAAUGAAUUGACGGGGUCAUAGCUGUUUCCU